GUGAAGGUAAGGGUAUCUUUGUGGAGAUCCCUGUCUGCCUGAGGCCUUCUAAAGUCUUCACUUGGACCUGUUUGCAGAUGUUCUUUGCCACUGUCAGAAAUUCUUCACUUCUUUCAGCCUUGAGAAUAAUAGGUUUUCUUACCACCCUCAUCUUUGGCCCAUCUGUUCAAGGGUGCUAUGAACUCUUGUGACAUCUGAGACAGUACUAAACGCUACAGUGCUGUUCACGCAAGUCUUUUUCCCACCGGAUUACUUGCUAAUCAGCCUCCAGUGCGGCGGAGAUAAGGCCGCUGCCCAGAGGAGCGCCGAGCGCCCGGCCGCGGCCCCGCGAUGGGCCCGGCGCGGCGGAGCUGUCCGAGG
ensembl:lncRNA